CUCCACAGCAUGGCUGAUGAGUGGAGCAGGUCCACACCUAGGAUCCGAACCCGCCAACUCAGAUCACUCACUCUGAAGGGAAGCCACCUGUCAUGCUGUGAAGACACGCAAAUGCAUCUGGUAGAGCAGCCAUGUGGCAAGGUACUGAGGCCUCCUGGCAACAGCAAGGAACUGAGGCCGUCUUCCGAUAGCCAUGAGAGGGCACCAUCUUGGAAGCAGGUCCUCCAGCCUCUGUUGAGUCUUGAGAUGACUGCAGCUCUAGCCAAUAUCUUGACUGCAACCUCACGAGAGACCUUGAGCCAGAGCCGUCUAGCUAAGCCACACCUGAUUUCUGAGCCACAGAAACUGUGAAAUAAUAAACGCCUGUUGUUUUAAGCUGAUAAGUUUUUGGAUAAUUUGCUACACAGAAAUAGAUAGCUAGAACCCUCAAUGUGACCCCUUUCAUUCUCUCUAUAAGGACACGCCAACACAGACUGUGCGCUUAUAUUCCAUGGAGUACAAUGCCACCAGCUUAAUAGCCAGCAUUUGUUUGCUUCCAUUUCAAUUUCCUGGUUCUGUUUUCAAAGUUCUUGAUAUUCCUACAACUCCUUAACAGUUGAACCAAUACUAAAGAAACAUAUAAAAAUGUCAACAUUUUCUGGAUUUAAUGGAAGAAAAAGACAACGUUUUUGCCAAUUGAAGUGGGCCUCUUGUCUUAAUAGCGCCUAUUAGAACCCUAAAUGGCUUUUGGCAAGAAUUUCCAGAAAAGAGGUGAUUGAAAUCGAAACAUCUCAGUUCCUCACGUCCUAAAAAUGCUGCUAAUAGAUAGAAAACAACAACAACAAUAAUGACAAUGUCAACAAAUCCUGCUGAUUAUCUUGUGAACUACUCCAUGUAGACGACAACAGGAGAGUGACUGAGGUAACAGCUGUAACCUGAUAUAACAGACCAAGGGCAGCGGGCAUGGAAAAUGAAAAAUGACAACAUAAGGGCACAGUGGGUUAGUGAUUGCCCUAUCCAGCGUCAGGAGCUAAGGCUGGUCAUCAUACCCCGAGUUUUGCUGGAUUUAUAGACCGACUGAAAUCUGAAUCCAUUUUCUGCCAGAAGGAGAUAGGUUGUAGGUGGGGAAUGUUCAGUGAUCAAACAAUUCUGCCACCUUGUCUUCACCUUGAGACUGACUGAUUAAUUUCAGAUCCUGUGGCGAACAACCAGCCAUGGAGAAGGCAGCGUGAGAGGGGCAGGUCUGAGAUCCGCAGAGGCUGGUUUGCAUCCGGUUACUCUCUUCAGGUGCAGAUAAGCACACGGAUCACAUCCGGGAUACUACAUUAUGUUUCGUUGUCACGUUUCCUCAGGCUAUUGGUUGUGACAGUUUCUCAGACUUUUCUUGUUUUUGAUGACCGAGACAGCUCUGAGGAUUAAAAUACUGAUCACGCAUACUGGAGUAUGCCCUUCAAUUUCGAUUCAUCUGAUGUUUCUCACUAUUAGACCGGGAUUAUGGGUUUAGGGGAGGAAAACCACAGAAGGAAAGCGCCAUUCUCAUGACCUCGCAUCCAGGGUACAUCCUAUGAAUGUGACUUAUAACUUUUGAAGUUGACCUUGAUCACCUGGCUGAGACAGUGUUUAUCACGUUUCUCUACUGUAAAGUUACUCCUGUUAUUCUGUCCUUUUGCUCACUGCACGCUUAUGCUCCACCUCCCUGAGAGCUGAGCAUCCGCAUAAAUGCUUCUGGAUGCUUCUACGUGGGAGACUUGUCUCUUGACCGACACUUACUUAUUCAAUCAACGAUUUACAUCAGUAUGUACUCAAUAUUUAUUUUAUAUGUUGGGUUACAGACUUCUACAAGAGCUAAAUGAGAAGGCUGGAAAGAGAGGAUUACAAUUUUAGAGUGAUUUUUUUUUUCUAUUUGACAUAUCAAAAAAUAUAUCUUUUACUAUAUUAUGUGACCCUGAGCAUUUUUUCUCCUUUUGUAUUUAUUCAAUCUUUUAUUGUCUAUCAUGUCCCUUACCUGUUUUUCUUGUGAGAGUGAACUUGAUUUUUCAUAGUCUCUCAGUAGUGUGGAUGUUCAGCUAAACCUGAGACCUGAUGCUUCCCUUGGUCAGUGAGCUCCUCUCUGUCAUUAGCAGCACUGAACAUUUCUGCUUUACGGAACUUCCCCAGAGAGCCUGUUUUCUGCAUGCAGACAAUGCAGAAGGGAUUCCCUCAGCCCCCACGACUGCUCUCUGGGAGCCCAGCCCAAGAGACUCUUCUUUAUCUGCUCACAGGCACACUUAAUUCCUCAGUAACUGUAAUUAUCAAGGAAUCACAGCAGUGGUCUUUAUAUUUCUCUUCAAAGUGCUGUUGAUAUUUGAGGAUUCUUCUCUUGUAAUCAUCCUCCUCGAAUAUGGCUUCAGAACUCUUCAGGAGGGUUUCAUACGGUUUGUAACCAAUAAUGUGUCUGUGAGCAUGGAAGAUGUUUCUUCUCUGUCACCCUAUGCAAAGAAGUGUGCAUCCUCGAAAAGACUGAGCACCUCAAGGAAUGCUUCUAAGUCUGAGACUUUAUGAUGGAUCUCAAAAACUGUCUCGGGCUGAGUCAAAAGCCUCCUUUUUCUCAGUAAGAUCAGAGAGUUUCCCAUCCUUGGGGUUCUCAUGGUUUUAUCUUAGUAGCUUUGGGUUUUCAGCCUGGAGCCUUGGACACUGUACUAGAUAAUGUGAGAAUGGAAAGUCCACCAGGGGCUAGCUGGUGGUAGUAGUCAGUCUGCUGCCACCCAGCAGGACAAUCUCGGACAAGUUACCAGCCUGUCUGAGCUUCAGCAAAGAUGAUUGGAGGGGUGGAUAAGGGAAUUGGCAAGUGGUUCCUCAUUCAAUAAGGACUCUUCUGGCUUCACAUCUAAUUUGAAUUGGUCUUAUGGUCACAUAUCGCAGAGUUGGAAGGUACCAGAUAGGCCCAUUCUAAAGACUAUAACUAUAUUGCUAAACUUCUUCAACACGUAAGAAAAGUCAAAUCCAUCCCCCACAUUUCUCCCUUUUCAUACCUGGAGUCAGAGGCAAGGGGCCAGCAGCUAUUCUCUUUGCUGUGCUAGGCUUUUCCUCUUCAACUACUCACAUUCUUUCUUGUUAAAUUUAGCAAUUUUUUUCUUCUUUCUUGAAAAGAAGCUAUAAAAAUCAUUCUUAUCCUCAAACUCAGAUUAUGCCUUGAACCAGAAAGUGUUCAGAAUUUGGAACUGCAAUGUUUUUCAGGGAUUUAAAUGCAAAGCAGUGUCACCUAAACGCUACUUCAUCAUAUUUUAAUUCUAUUUCAUUUAGAGCUAAUUUAAAACAGAAACCUGUGGAGCAGAACGGAGAGGAUGGCUGGAGAGCCAGGAGGUGAAAGCCUGGGAAAGCAGAUAAUGGCCCUCUUCUCCUUCCUUGGGUGACUUGCCCGCUUCCUCCUGCCCAUGUCCAGGUUUCUUAGCAUUUGAUUGAAUAAUUGUAAGGGAUUCACUUGUUUAAAUUCAUCGUCUCUUCCCAAGUAAAGCAUGCCACCUCUCUUGAUGACACAAGCGCUCCCUUUACAAUGGAGCCAAUGCGGUCUAUCUGCUCCAAAUUCAAUCAACGCACCAGCAGGAUGCAGCAGCCUCGGGAGAAGAUGAGGGUGAUAGCUGAGGGUGUCAGAGAGCGAGAGAUUUAUCAGCAUCCUCAACCACAUGCUCUUCGCCUGGCUCAUUGGCUGCCAGUGUUUUUUGUUUUCUAUUUGCUGCCUCAUCUUCAGAUGCUCCAAGAACACUGAAGCUACUUGGAAAUUUCAGGUGUAACUGAGAACUUCUUGGCAUGAAUAUGAAACUGGUGAGACAGACAUACGCUUGGCUCUGUGUAGCUGUGCUUGUCGGCACUCCAGGGCUGAUGCUGAAAGACUUGAUGCAAACAAAUGAUUUCUCUCAAGAAUCCAGAGAGGAGGGGGUCAUACCAGGCAGGGCUCAUGGUCCAGCUACCCAGUGUGAUGCCCAGGGGUCCUUCCUGACAGCUUUAAGUACCAAGUAAAACACAAGGCUGGUGAUGCCUUUAAUUUAAUCUCAUAUGAUGUUUUCAAAAUGGGAACCGGAAAGGCAAGAGGGACCAACCUCCCUGACCAAUGAUGAGUGAGAUAACAUCACCAGCUCGACACAAAUCAAAUAAUGCUCUGCCCUUGUUUUUCCGGUUCUCAUUGCUCAGAACCGUGUGAUUAGCUGGUAAAGAGAUUUCAGGCUCUCGAGCUCCGUAUGGUUUUCGAAUGUUCAUUAUGUAGAGAUGAUUGAAAAUGUCGGGGGAACGGGAACCAGAUUUUCGAGAAGCCCCUUUUUCUCCUCUGCAAUCUUCCGUGAGUGGGGGUGGGGUGAAGUAAAUGGAAUGGAAUACUCCAUCCCACCAGCAUUUUAAGAUUGACCUCUAGAGACCUGGGUCCACCAGACACGUGGGGACCUUGGUUACGGAGUCAGGACCAAAUAAGAUCUUUGCGUUAACAAAGAACUGUGUGCUGGGAACUCAGGAGAGCUGGAAUUGCACCAACGUCUGCCGCGAACAAGCCGUGUGAUCCUGGAAAAGCCAUGUCCGCUCCCUGGACCUCUGAUUCCUCGUCUGUAAAAUGUAAACUCUGAUUUUGGGGGGGGGGUGAUUAUAUUGGGUGUACCAUAAUGUUGUGUUAAACCUGUGUGGCCCGUCACAGGAAGACAAAGACAACCAAACUGGAUUUGUGUUCAUUUUUCAGUCGAGCCUGCAAAGAACCACAUUUUGUAUUUGGCUUCUUUGGAACCAGAACUUUCACCUGCAGAUAAAAAUGAGUUUAAAUGUGCUCCUGCAAUCACAUUCAGCCUAAUCAGCUGCUUGGCAGAACCUCUUUUCAUCGGCCACUCUGAACUCCGGUCUAACCUAC